rnacentral:rRNA from 1 species
AGCUCCAAUAGCGUAUAUUAAAGUUGCUGCAGUUAAAAAGCUCGUAGUUGCAUUUCCGAGGCAAGGGAUUAGUCCGACCUUUGGUGGGUAUUUAAUCCUCUUGCCUCGUCCUUGAGUGGUGCUUCUUGGUAUUAAGUUAUCGAGGAGAUAGCCGCUCAUCGUUUACUGUGAGAAAAUUAGAGUGUUCAAAGCAGGCUUAUGCCGUUGAAUAUAUUAGCAUGGAAUAAUAAGAUAGGACCUCGGUACUAUUUUGUUGGUUUGAGAACCAAGGUAAUGAUGAAUAGGGACAGUUGGGGGUAUUCGUAUUCAGUUGUCAGAGGUGAAAUUCUUGGAUUUAUGAAAGAUGAACUUAUGCGAAAGCAUUUAUCAAGGAUGUUUUCA